GAGCAGCUAGCUCAACUGUUAGAGCAACGAAUUCUUUAUUCGUGAGAUUGAGGUUCAAGUCCUUGGCUGCUCA
rfam:Lactobacillus fructivorans strain DmCS_002 contig4, whole genome shotgun sequence.